UACGAAGGGGGCUAGCGUUGUUCGGAAUUACUGGGCGUAAAGCGCGCGUAGGCGGACUUUUAAGUCAGGGGUGAAAUCCCGGGGCUCAACCUCGGAACUGCCUUUGAUACUGGGAGUCUUGAGUAUGGAAGAGGUAAGUGGAAUUGCGAGUGUAGAGGUGAAAUUCGUAGAUAUUCGGAGGAACACCAGUGGCGAAGGCGGCUUACUGGGCCAUUACUGACGCUGAGGUGCGAAAGCGUGGGGAGCAAACAGG
rnacentral:rRNA from 1 species